GACGAACGCGGGCGGCGUGCCUAAUACAUGCAAGUAGGACGCACAGUUUAUACCGUAGCUUGCUACACCAUAGACUGCGAGUUGCGAACGGGUGAGUAACGCGUAGGUAACCUACCUAUUAGAGGGGGAUAACUAUUGGAAACGAUAGCUAAUACCGCAUAACAGUAUGUAACACAUGUUAGAUGCUUGAAAGAUGCAAUUGCAUCGCUAGUAGAUGGACCUGCGUUGUAUUAGCUAGUAGGUAGGGUAAAGGCCUACCUAGGCAACGAUACAUAGCCGACCUGAGAGGGUGAUCGGCCACACUGGGACUGAGACACGGCCCAGACUCCUACGGGAGGCAGCAGUAGGGAAUCUUCGGCAAUGGGGGGAACCCUGACCGAGCAACGCCGCGUGAGUGAAGAAGGUUUUCGGAUCGUAAAGCUCUGUUGUUAAGGAAGAACGAGUGUGAGAAUGGAAAGUUCAUGCUGUGACGGUACUUAACCAGAAAGGGACGGCUAACUACGUGCCAGCAGCCGCGGUAAUACGUAGGUCCCGAGCGUUGUCCGGAUUUAUUGGGCGUAAAGCGAGCGCAGGCGGUUAGAAAAGUCUGAAGUGAAAGGCAGUGGCUCAACCAUUGUAGGCUUUGGAAACUGUUUAACUUGAGUGCAGAAGGGGAGAGUGGAAUUCCAUGUGUAGCGGUGAAAUGCGUAGAUAUAUGGAGGAACACCGGUGGCGAAAGCGGCUCUCUGGUCUGUAACUGACGCUGAGGCUCGAAAGCGUGGGGAGCGAACAGG
rnacentral:rRNA from 1 species